UGACACUGAGCACACUAGGUAAUAAUAGUAAGAAAGUGACUGACUGACUUCCCACUAAGCAGCUGAGAACAAAGCACUUCUUUUAGUUUUCCUAGGGAAAAGAAUGAGCUUGCCACAUCUAUCACUACAGAUGGACUUUUGCGAAGCAGGCCUGCUGGUUUGCUAACAGAUGAGCAAGAGGACAUCAUUGUGAAGGCCAAGUCUGCUUGAGCUGAGCAGCAAUACUGCCUGAGCACUCCAUGGAGGGUCUGCCAGCCCCAGUCAUGCUCUUGUGGCUUAGUUUCAGGCUUUAUCAGCCCUCGUCCCACCUGUGUAAAGCAUUUACUAAUUGUUCAUGAACCAGAGACUACCUGGGUUACUAGUCGCCUUGUUAGACUGUGAACUUUGCACAGAAAGACGUAGCAGCA